rnacentral:lncRNA from 1 species
AAAAUAUGUAAUUUAAAUAUUUAGAACAAAUCCAAAUGUUCAGAAUAUAUCUAAAACGGAAUAGAUGUAUCUAGGGAUUAGUCAGUUCACAAAAAAUUAUCCCUAGAUAUACAAUACAAAUGUCAUGAUAUUUGAUUGAAAAAUAAAUUAAAAAUGAAACUAAUCUUCUAUUCUAACUUUAAAAAAGACCUAACGUUAGGGAUUUCUCAAUAGGUAAUGUUGC